UAGGGUGGAGCACUUGCUGGAGCAGGUGUGCUGGCAGAAAUCAUGACCCCAUAAAGGACCCAUUCUGGAUCAGUCUGACCCUGAAGGACUGCACUCUAGGGAAGGAACUGAUGUUGGAGUAGUUUGUGAAGAUCUGAAGUCCAAGGCAAGGACUCAGGUAGGAGAAGUUCAUGGAUGACCACCUCACAUAGGUGAUACCCACAUUGGAGCAGGGGAAGAGUGUGAAGAGGAAACAGCAGCAAAGACAAGUGUUGAAAUGACCACACCCUUCAUUUUAUGUCCACCUAUACCACCCAAGGUGGGAAAGCUAAACGCUGCAGCAUCUGACACUUAACCAAGGAAGCAGUAUGUAGAAACACAAGUUCAAUUCUGGUUACAAUAGGCAUGCACCAAUUGCUCCACUUUUCCUUGUUGACUGUUUUUCACAACACAAGAUGUUACUGAGAAACUAAAAGAAGUGUAAUGUCUUCAGAAAUGAACUCAAUCAAAAAUUCAUGGGCAAGCUUUCCUUAAUGUAUCAAGUUUAAAGGACAAGUCAAAAAACCCAAAGUUCUUUAACCCUUUGUAAAAAAAACCACACCAACUGAAGGCAAUGAAAAAUGCAUUCAAAAGAUUUUGUUUUCCUUAUUUUUGCAAAAAGAAAAGAAGAAAAUUGAUGUUUGUAGCACUUAGCAUUUUUAAGUGAGGAAUGAAGAAGACUGGGCUAAU